rnacentral:rRNA from 1 species
AAAUACGACCACGAGACCGAUAGCGAACAAGUACCGUGAGGGAAAGUUGAAAAAAACUUUGAAGAGAGAGUUCAAGAGUACGUGAAACCGUUCAGGGGUAAACCUAAGAAACCCCAAAGAUCGAACGGGGAGAUUCAUCGUCAGCGGCGUUGGCUUCGCGUCGGUGGGCGAUGUCYCGCGAGCUCGCUCGCGGGCACGCUACCGUGCGCGCACGUCCGACGUCGUCGUCGUGCANUUCUCCCCUAGUAGGACGUCUCGACUCGCUGGGUGUCGGUCUACGGCCCGAGUGCGGUGUCUGUCGCGUCGCCGGUAAAACGGCACGCGNNAAACCCUCGGUCGCNNGGCCGGCUGCCCGGCGGUACUCGCAAGGUAUCAGGCCGCGAAGUUUAGUUUUCGCGUCAAGCCCGUCGCAAGCGNNCGCCACGGCACCCGGAGGUACGGACCUNGCCCNGUCUCCGGUCCUGGUCCGCUGUUGAC